UACAGAGGUCCCAAGCGUUGUUCGGAUUCACUGGGCGUAAAGGGUGCGUAGGCGGUCGGGUAAGUCUGAUGUGAAAUCUCACAGCUUAACUGUGAAACUGCAUUGGAUACUAUCCGGCUCGAGGAAUGGAGGGGAGACUGGAAUACUUGGUGUAGCAGUGAAAUGCGUAGAUAUCAAGUGGAACACCAGUGGCGAAGGCGAGUCUCUGGACAUUUCCUGACGCUGAGGCACGAAAGCCAGGGGGAAGGCAAACGGG
rnacentral:rRNA from 1 species